GUCCUAGCCCUAAACGGUGCGCGUUUGCUGUGGGAGGAAUCGACCCCUUCCGUGGCGAAGCUAACGCGAUAAACGCGCCGCCUGGGGAGUACGGUCGCAAGAUUAAAACUCAAAGAAAUUGACGGGGCCUGCACAAGCGGUGGAGUAUGUGGCUUAAUUCGAUGCAACGCGAAGAACCUUACCUGGCCUUGACAUGCAUUUGGUAGAACCAUGAAAGUGGGACGACCCCGCAAGGGGAGGAUGCACAGGUGCUGCAUGGCUGUCGU
rnacentral:rRNA from 1 species